rnacentral:misc_RNA from 1 species
UUCAUGGAAGUGACGGCAUAAGAUGCUUGUAGCCGGCUUGUAUUGCAUUAUAUCAUGAUUGCCAUGGUCCUACUAAUAUUUGUAGGUUUCGGUUGGUGCUCGAGAUGGCUUUGUAAAUAUUAACAUGACAAUUGACGAUCUCCAUCAGUUUGUCGAUCAUAAUCAUAGAUGUACAGGAAUCAUAUUAGAUUUUUAAGGUUCUGUUGUAACUGGUUUUAUGAGAGUUGGGAUUGGCAUUUGAAUUCCUUUGGUUAUAAGCCUAAUUGAGUCAGAUUUCCCAAAGUGGUCCCUCACUUAAUGUGCUUCUUGCUUGUAAUUU